UGACCCAAGAAUAUUUCUUUUUAAAUUAGUUCUUGGUCUCUGGUGCCAAGUGGGGCUAAUAUCGGGAUGGGGCACUUGGAUGGGAAGAAAUAUUGGGGAAGGGUCUCUGGACCAGAGAAGGGAAAGGUCAAACAGGAAAGCCAAGUAAGUCCGUUGCAGAGAGGCUGCAAGAGGAGGAAAUCCCCCUUCUCUGGAUUUCCCACUGGCACAGGGGACUCAGGCGGGGCCAGCUGACAUCUUUGGACUGCUUCUUCUAGAGCAGAGGCUGCUCAGAGACCCCAGCACCCCAAGGCCAAGAACAGCUGCCAGUUAUUUGGAAUGAGAGUCUUGCUAUGUUGCUCAGACUGGUCUUGAACUGAACUCCUCGCCUCAAGCCAUCCUCCCACCUCAGCCUCCUGAGUCACUGGGAUUACAAGCAUGAGCCAUUGACCUCAGCUCUGUUUAACCUUUAAAAUGGAGGAAGGAAGAACUCCAGGUCUAGCUGGCUUGGCUCCAGAUUAUUUCCACGGACAGCAGAGCUAUGGAGAUUGGGAAGUCAAAAGUGCUGGCAUUUGAGUCUUGUGAAGGCUUUCUUGCUGUAUCCUCACAUGGUGGAAGAAGGACAAAAAGAGAUGAAUUGCUGUGUCCUCACACGGUGGAGCAGUAGAAGAGCAAAAAGGACCUAAGCUAGUUCUCUCUAGGCAUUUGAUGAGGCUAUAAUCCAUCCAUGAAAGCAGAUAUUUCAUUAUUUAAUCACGUCCCAAGAGGCUCCACCACUUAAAACCAUCACAAUGGGGAUUAAGUUUCAACACAUGAAUUUUGGGGGACUUUUAGACCAUAACAGAAUUUAAAUCAAAACUUGUCAAAAGAAACAAAGAAAGACAUCAUAUAAUGAUAAAAGGUUCAGUUCACCAGAAAAAUGUAACAAUGAUAAAUUUAUAUGCACCAACGUCAGAACACCUAAAUAUAUGCAGCAAACAUUGACAGAACUGAAGGGAGAAAUAGACAGCAACAUUAUAAUAAUAGAGGAUUUUAAUACCCUACUUCCAAUAAAGGUUAGAACAUCCAGACAAAAGAUCAAUUAGUUAACAAGGGGCUUGAUCAACACCAUAGACCAAAUGGACCUGAUAAACAUACACAGAACAUUCUACCUAAUAGCAGAAUUCACAUUUUUUCCAAGAGCACAUGGUACAUUUUUUUUUAGUAGAUCACAUGCUGGGUCACACAACAAGUCCUAUCACAUUUAAGAUUGAAAUCAUACCAAGUAUCUUUUCCAGUCACAAUGGAAUGAAACCAGAAAUCAAUAUCAGAAGGAAAAUUAGAAAAUUCACAAAUAUGUGGAAAUGCAACAACAUACUCUUGAACAAGUGUAUCAAAGAAUGAAUCAAAAGGGAAAUUAGAAAAUAUCUUGAAACAAAGAAAAUAGAAACACAACAUACCAAACUUUAUGGAAUGCAAAUAGAGGGAAGUUGAUAACAAUAAACAUAUUAAAAAUAUCUCAAAUAAAAAAUCUAACUCUACAUAUUGGAGAACUAUAAAAAGAAGAACAAGUUAAACCCAAAGUUAACAGAGAAAGGAAAUAAUGAUUAAAGUAUAAUGGUGGCAUAUGCCUGUAAUCCCAGCACUUUGGGAGCCCAAGG